rnacentral:rRNA from 1 species
AUUGAACGCUGGCGGCAUGCUUUACACAUGCAAGUCGAACGGCAGCACGGGGGCAACCCUGGUGGCGAGUGGCGAACGGGUGAGUAACACAUCGGAACGUGCCCAGUUGUGGGGGAUAACCUAUCGAAAGGUAGGCUAAUACCGCAUGAGCUCGGCAAGAGGAAAGCGGGGGACUCAGCGAUGGGCCUCGCGCGACUGGAGCGGCCGAUGUCCGAUUAGCUAGUUGGUGGGGUAAAGGCUUACCAAGGCGACGAUCGGUAGCUGGUCUGAGAGGAUGAUCAGCCACACUGGGACUGAGACACGGGCCCCAGACUCCUACGGGAGGCAGCAGUAGGGAAUAUUGGACAAUGGGUGCAAGCCUGAUCCAGCCAUGCCGCGUGCAGGAAGAAAGCCUUCUGGGUUGUAAACU